rnacentral:rRNA from 1 species
GCUUAGUGGCGACGGGUGAGUAACACGUGAGUAACCUGCCCUUGACUCUGGGAUAAGCGCUAGAAAUGGCGUCUAAUACCGGAUACGAGCUUCAGCCGCAUGGCUAGGAGUUGGAAAGAAUUUUGGUCAAGGAUGGACUCGCGGCCUAUCAGCUAGUUGGUGAGGUAAUGGCUCACCAAGGCGACGACGGGUAGCCGGCCUGAGAGGGUGACCGGCCACACUGGGACUGAGACACGGCCCAGACUCCUACGGGAGGCAGCAGUGGGGAAUAUUGCACAAUGGGCGAAAGCCUGAUGCAGCAACGCCGCGUGAGGGAUGACGGCCUUCGGGUUGUAAACCUCUUUUAGUAGGGAAGAAGCGAAAGUGACGGUACCUGCAGAAAAAGCACCGGCUAACUACGUGCCAGCAGCCGCGGUAAUACGUAGGGUGCAAGCGUUGUCCGGAAUUAUUGGGCGUAAAGAGCUCGUAGGCGGUUUGUCGCGUCUGCUGUGAAAUCUGGGGGCUCAACCCCCAGCCUGCAGUGGGUACGGGCAGACUAGAGUGCGGUAGGGGAGAUUGGAAUUCCUGGUGUAGCGGUGGAAUGCGCAGAUAUCAGGAGGAACACCGAUGGCGAAGGCAGAUCUCUGGGCCGUAACUGACGCUGAGGAGCGAAAGCAUGGGGAGCGAACAGGAUUAGAUACCCUGGUAGUCCAUGCCGUAAACGUUGGGAACUAGAUGUGGGGGCCAUUCCACGGUCUCCGUGUCGCAGCUAACGCAUUAAGUUCCCCGCCUGGGGAGUACGGCGCAAGCUAAACUCAAGGAAUUGACGG